GUGGGGAAUCUUGCGCAAUGGGCGAAAGCCUGACGCAGCCAUGCCGCGUGAAUGAUGAAGGUCUUAGGAUUGUAAAAUUCUUUCACCGGGGAAGAUAAUGACGGUACCCGGAGAAGAAGCCCCGGCUAACUUCGUGCCAGCAGCCGCGGUAAUACGAAGGGGGCUAGCGUUGCUCGGAAUUACUGGGCGUAAAGGGCGCGUAGGCGGACAUUUAAGUCAGAGGUGAAAGCCCAGGGCUCAACCUUGGAAUUGCCUUUGAUACUGGAUGUCUUGAGUUCGGGAGAGGUGAGUGGAAUGCCGAGUGUAGAGGUGAAAUUCGUAGAUAUUCGGCGGAACACCAGUGGCGAAGGCGACUCACUGGCCCGAUACUGACGCUGAGGCGCGAAAGCGUGGGGAGCAAACAGGAUUAGAAACCCCUGUAGUCC
rnacentral:rRNA from 1 species